CAUCCUCCCUGGCUCCUGCCUCUUCUGCUCAUUCUUCCUCAAGCAGGUAAGACAUGCAUGCUGGAGCAAUAGCAGUAUCCACACAUAUGGCAGUAUAUACAUCUUAUAGCAUGAUGCUAAGAGGUGAAGGGAAGGACUGUUUUGUUGGUGAUAGUCUUGGUCACUUUUCUGCUUGCUUUUCAGGAUUCUAUCUUAGAGCAUGGCAAAUGCUAGAGUGGCCUACCUCUAAAUUUGUGAAACAUGGGCCCUAAAUAUCCCCAAACUGAGAGUCUGUAUGACUGAUUGAUAGCUAAGUGUUCUAUAGUAGAGUAUUUACCUUUUGUACAAGUUAGGCAAGGCCCUGGACCACAGGGACUCAACGAUAGUCAGGCUCACUCACUAUAAUAAAUGACCAUUCAAGUCUCAGCUUGUCUCAUGCACUCUCUCAUUUGUCGCUUACAUAUACAGACAUCACUGUAUAACUAUGUUUUGCAGUUGGGAUUUCAUUUUCAGAAGCUUAUGAGCAUAGUUACUAGAAUGUUCAUGCCACAAGAAAAAAUAUUGGCAUACAGAGGGCAGAAGACACCUGCUUCCCAGCACAGCCAAUGUUAACCAACCUGACUGUGCAUCACCUGUCAUAUCAUGUGCAGUGUUAUCUACUUGCUGUAACUGUAUUUAUUUGUUUGUUUAAUGAUUCUAUUUAAUAAGCAAGUAAAAAGAAUGUCUAGAAUUUAACCUCUUAGAACGGUUUCUUGAACCACUAAAAAAGAUAUUUAACCUUCUUCAUUGCUUAAAGAAGACUCUUUAGAAAAUGAAUGCCUCUUCAAUGGUAUGCAUUUACUGUUAUCCCCAGCUACUGAAUGACAACUAUGAGCUACUAUGUUUACAUCUGGCCAAACCUCAGUGGCCUAACCUUCAUUUUGCUUCUAACAUGAGAGUCUCAGCUAAGUAACUCCCAACCAGAGUAGACAGUAAGGCACAUAAAAUCUCUACUAUACAUGUAUAAUUUUUUUUAAAGAAUUUGCCAUUUUCUGGCAAAGAAAAACUUCUGAAUCACUAUCAUGAUAGUAUAUUAUAAUUAGAGCUUGAGUGUUGGUCACAUAAUGACUAGCUAAAAUUAUGGCUAAGAAGGGUUUCUCUGUGGUUUCUCAAACCUCUUUCCCAAACCUCCCAAAAAAAUCAUUAUUCCUCUGGAAAUGCUGACUCCAGGUUCACAUGCC
rnacentral:lncRNA from 1 species